CAGGCUGCAGCAGCUCCAUCCUUACACAGAGACGCUUGCUUCUUGGUGCCUGUAGAGGGAGCUGCAGUGACAGCGCAGCACACAGCUCCUCUCAGGAGGUACUGUACUUGUACGUGAGGUGAAAGAGAAAAAGGCUGGUGACGGUGAGGGCACUGGGUAGGCAGUGGAUGUGUCCAAUACUCUCACUGAAUCCAGUUCACUUAAGUCUUUGCAGUGGCGACGGUCCUAAGAGGAGCCCAGUCCAGUGCCCAGGAGAAACACUGGACUGCAGGAGAAACAGCCCAGGCAGCUUGGAACUGGAGGAUAGCAGUGGUAUUUUGAAAUGCCAGAAGAGAGGGCUGAGGUCUGAGCAGGAUUCUGGAUGUCUUUGUUUUCCUCAUUUGAAGAAAGAAUGCGUCUUUGGCUACUUACCAGAAAAAGAAAAAAAAAAAUGGGUGGCAACAGAUAUAGUUAAAGUCAAAUUCCUCCUUCUUUUUUUUCAUCCCUUUGCAUCCUCUGCAGUUCGCUUGGAAAAAGCAGCAAGUCCAUCUUCUAUAUUUAAACUUGGGUAUUCUCCUGUGGGAACAUUCAUUAGCAAUCUAACAUUCCUCUCAAUGAAUAAAGUAGUGGGCAAACAGCUGUGUUAUUCCAUCUGAUAGGCCAGUGUCUUCUCCACCAGA